AUGAUGAACCCAGCCGUUAGCAGGAAGGCGGCACAACAACGUCAGCGGCGCACCUACAGAGUGAGAAGAGAUAUUUUCGCUGAGUACGACGAUGCUGAGUUACUGAAAAGAUUCAGAUUGGACCGUGCUGGUAUUGUUGCAGUGACUGAUAUAGUGAGAGACAAGCUGCAAAGUAAAACUGAAAGAAAUAGAGCCUUGACCCCUGAGAUGGUGGCCAUCAUAUUACGAUAUUUAGCCACAGGAAAAAUGCAACAGUGCAGUUGUGAUGAUUUUGGAACAACGCAGCCCACUAUCAGCCGUGCAAUAUCACAGACAAUUGAUGCACUGGCUGACCCAGAAGUAAUCUGCCAGUUCGUGGCUUUCCCUCACACCCAGCGUGAAGUGCAGCAAAAACAGGCAGAGUUCAUGCAAGUAACUCAGUUUCCCGGUGUUGUGGGAGUGAUUGAUGGUACUCAUAUAAGAAUUGUGUCUCCUCAUGUCGAUGAACAUGUAUAUGUGAACAGGAAACGCUAUCACAGCAUAAAUGUGCAAGUAGUAUUUGAUGCUCACUAUAAGAUUCUUGACAUUGUGGCAAGGUGGCCUGGCUCAGUCAACGAUGCAAGAAUACUAGAUAAGUCAGCACUCAAACUGAUGUUUGAGGAACAACAUGUACCUGCAGGAUGCUACCUUCCCGGGGACAGUGGCUAUCCCUGUAAGCAGUGGCUCCUCACUCCUUACCUUCGCCCUCAAACUGUUGCACAAGCUAAUUAUAACAGGUGGGUUUAUUUGUAAAUAGUGUUCUGUUAGGUUUAGAUAUGCUUUGAACGAAUCUAGUAGCUUUCUCCCCAGGGCCGCCCUCCCGCGUGUGCCCGCAGCCCCUACAAGAACCGGUCCCUGCCCCCCUUUGGGCACGCUCUCCUCCCAAGGCUAAGUCCCCGGGGCGUGGCCGCCCAAACUAACCCCCCUCCUCCCAACAGUUCCAGUACCUUACGAUGCAGCCGAGGGGACUGACGCCACCACCACCACUGCCACCACCGCCACAACAAGGGUUAUUCAAAUGGGGAACAUGCUUCAGGUGUUGCCCCAAGAUGCCUCAGCCCCGCAGCCCCACUUCCCCAUGAUAGUGCAGGCAGGGAAUGUCAUACAGGUUGUUCCAGCUGACAACACGCAGGUAUUAGGGGCAGAAGUCGUUGGAGUUGGUCGGGUCAUGCAAGUGGUCGGAGUCCCAGGCUUUCCCCCGACCCCAGCCCCAGACCCCUGCCCCAGCCACCCCUCUCCCUGUGACCCCUGCCCAGUCAUCCCUCACCCCCUCCUGCCCCCCUGCGGUGCUGCCAGCGGGGGUGAUGGGAGGUGGAGGUGGGCCACACACACCUGGGUUAGCUGUGGCUUGGCUUAUCUCCCUCCUCAGCAGCAAAUCCCGAGGAUCAACGAGGACAUGGUGGACCCAGAGAUUGCAGCAGCAGCGAGAGAGAGAGAGAGAAGCAAGAGAGGAGGGAGAGGAAGGAGAGGAGGAGGAGAGAGAGGGAGGCCAGGAGGGAGGCACGUCAGAGAGAGAGGGAGAGGAAGAGGUUGAUUCUGUUACAACAACAACUGCAACAACAACAACAGUUAGUCAGUGAGGAGGGGGAGGGGCCGUCCUCUGAUGCUGAGGAUGAGGUAUUGUUCAGGGAGGCCAUGUCGGAGGUGCCGGUGGUGGGGUCGCCAGUUCCGGAGUACGAGGUGGAGGAGGAAAAGGAAGAGGAGGACGAGGAGGAGGCACGGAUAAGGAAGAAGAAAAGAUUAUUACCUGUAGCCCUCCCUCCAGCUGAUAAGGGGAUAUUAAGGAGCCCUUCCUACAGGUUCGUUCGAUGCAAGGAGUUGGCACAGGAGGCGUCCGAGGCUGUGUAGAGCGGCCGUCUGAACCUGGUGCCACAGCUUACUAUGUUCAACAGAUGCCUGAAGGAAGUGUGUGUAAGGGAGGAUAAAGAGAUCAUGCUGGCCUAUGCAGACGAUGUCGCUGUCGUGACAGGAAGCCAACAAGAUCUUCAAGAGGCCAUGACAAGAUGGAAUGAUGUUUUAAAUAGGGAAGGAAUGAGAAUGAACAAACAAAAAACUUAUUUACUAGUGGACAAGCAACAAGUGAUGGUGUGGCUCUGAGCCACUGUAGUAGGGAUGUUAUGGUUUAAGUGUAGGAAGUUGCAAAUGCUCACCUAAUAAUUGCACCUUAGUAGAAAAACACAAACAGGAAGUUUAUGCAAGUUUUUAUCCUUAUAUAAAAUGUUGUAUUGCAUCAAACCUCCAUACAUUACUGUCUCUAUCCAGUAUGAGACCGGUGUUCAGGAAGCACAAGCAUGUGCUGAAUAACAAGAAGCCGGCAUUGGUGAAGGUGACAACAUUUCAUCUAUUUAUACAUACUUUUUAUUAUUAAAGCUUAUCUUAUAAUUAUUUCUGAAGAGAUUGACUAAUUUUUGUAGUAUUUAUGACUUAGAACUAUGAUAAAGCUAUGAAUUGAUAUAAUUCCUGAUUUGUUUUAUCUUUUCAUUAUCCUUCCUUUGUUAAUUGAGCAUUUUAUAUUACUUAGCUUAAAAAUGCAAGAACGGUUCAGAAGUAUCCAACCUUGGGCUAAGGGCCAAAAUUAUGGUAUCAUUCAAAAUGUCCUUCAAAGAAAGCCCUCUGUAAUCCAACACACUUAGCCCAUUAAUCCUUCCAUUUCUCAUCAAUUUGUUCAACAUUCAUAUUUUUCCCUUAUAGGGUUGAACAAUUUUCAUGGGUUCAGAGCAAAAGGCUUCCUCAUUCCUCCCAAGGUAUUCUCGGAUGGUAAGCAGGUUUGACUCUGGAGCAAACCUGACCAAGGGCUACUGCCCAAGGCUACAGAGGUUCCUCUCCCUGAGGCUGAAUGCACCAUGUGAGAUGGUUCUGUUAUGUGGAUGAAUGUCAUGGUGGAUAGCAGUGCCACCACAUUCCUACAAUCAUCCAUCACUCCACUGCUCAAACGCUUCUGCAACCAAUGAUAGGUAUGCUGCCACAUUCUGCAUGGUCUCCUUGGCUCUCAGAUAAGGAUACUGUCAACAGGUUUGGGAUUGCCAAAAAAUCAUAAGGAGCUAUGUCUGAAAAGUCCAGAGAGAGAGAGAGAGAGAAAGAAUGAGCAAGAGAAAGAGUAGGAUGAAGCAAAGGAAGAGUCAAGAGGGAGGAAGAGAGAGUAGGACAAGAAAAAACAGAACAAAUAAAUCCCCUACACGUCUUGUCUCCAUUCACACAAGCCAUGAAAAGCUUGUCCAUCCCUGAGUGCUCAGAAGCAGUGUUCCACUGAUGAUGUGGAAACUUGAGACACCCAAUCAUUUAAUGGGCUUUAGUAGGUUUUGUCACCAGUCUUCUGUGUGUCACUGACUACAUUUUGAAAUUUUUAUCUGUUCUAUUUAAUUUUGUGUGUAUGUACACAAUGUUUAUGGUCAAUAAACUAUUUAUAAAACUAUUUAUCUGUGUGAGUAAGAUAAAAGCAGUUAUUGUUAUUAUUAUUAUUAUUAUUAUUAUUAUUAUUAUUAUUAUUAUUAUUACACAUUUUCCUCCUUGUAUUUAAAUAUUAUUAUUAUUAUUAUUAUUAUUAUUAUUAUUAUUAUCAUGAAUUGUUCUUGUUUAUAAAUAAAAUACUGUAACUGA